rnacentral:rRNA from 1 species
CACUUGCUGGGGGAUUAGUGGCGACGGGUGAGUACACGUGAGUACCUGCCCUUGACUCUGGGAUAAGCCUGGGAAACUGGGUCUAAUACCGGAUACGACCAUCUGGCGCAUGUCAUGGUGGUGGAAAGCUUUUGUGGUUUUGGAUGGACUCGCGGCCUAUCAGCUUGUUUGGUGGGGUAAUGGCCUACCAAGGCGACGACGGGUAGCCGGCCUGAGAGGGUGACCGGCCACACUGGGAACUGAGACACGGCCCAGACUCCUACGGGAGGCAGCAGUGGGGAAUAUUGCACAAUGGGCGCAAGCCUGAUGCAGCGACGCCGCGUGAGGGAUGACGGCCUUCGGGUUGUAAACCUCUUUCAGUAGGGAAGAAGCGAAAGUGACGGUACCUGCAGAAGAAGCGCCGGCUAACUACGUGCCAGCAGCCGCGGUAAUACGUAGGGCGCAAGCGUUAUC